CAGCCGCCACGGGAAUACGUAGGUGGCAAGCGUCGUCCGGAAUUAUUGGGCGUAAAGGGCUCGCAGGCGGUUUCUUAAGUCUGAUGUGAAAGCCCCCGGCUCAACCGGGGAGGGUCAUUGGAAACUGGGAAACUUGAGUGCAGAAGAGGAGAGCGGAAUUCCACGUGUAGCGGUGAAAUGCGUAGAGAUGUGGAGGAACACCAGUGGCGAAGGCGACUCUCUGGUCUGUAACUGACGCUGAGGAGCGAAAGCGUGGGGAGCGAACAGGAUUAGAUACCCGCGUAGUCCCUGUCUCUUAUAC
rnacentral:rRNA from 1 species